UUUCCCCCUUAGCCCAUGGGGCAGUGGAUGUGUCCACGCGCCCCCCCCCCCAACUCCUCUCUGGCUGAUCGGGGCAACGGAUACCUGGUUUUUAAAAAUCUUUGUUUUUGGCCCAUCGGGGCUUCGGAUACCUGCUUUUAUUGUUUUUUUCCCUUGCCCAUCGGGGCCUUGGAUACCUGCUUUUAUUAUUUUUUUUUUCCUUGCCCAUCGGGGCCUCGGAUACCUGCUCUCAUUUUUUUUUUCCAUCGCCCAUCGGGGCUUCCCAUGGAUGAAAGGCGUUGGUUUCCUGGGCUGUUGCAGUAUCUGGAAUAGCUACGCAUUUUUUUGCUGCUGAUCCGUUGGUGGUGUGUGAGUGUACCCACGGCUUUGACAGGAGAAUGACUUCGCAGUUAUGCUAUGGCGCCGUUCAGGUUCUGGAGGAAACGUGGCCGCCAUUUUAGACUCGCCUCCUAAGUCGGCUUAGGAGUUGUUUGUGCUGAGUCUGAACUAGGGUGGCAAGAUGGAUGACAGAGGCAGUCAUGUGCGUCGCAGGAGCUAGACGCGUUUGAAUGAGCUAAUCUGGGGUCUGGUAGGAGCUUUGCCUGCUUUGCAUAGGGAGGCAAAGAAACAGGAUCUCAUCUAGCGGGAGCUAGGUGAAAAGGAGAGAGUUUCGAGAAGAGUUCCGCUCAGGGCUUAAAAUGGCGGUUUUGACAUUGCCGCAUUGCUCAGCAUGGCAGGCUGUGCUUUGUCCAAGAUGGCGGAUCCAGUUCUGCCGCAGUGUUCAAGUGGCGGGAAGGCCACAGCAGGCUGAGGGAGGCUUUGUUCCUGCGCAUAGCAUGCAGUGGACAUGUGCGAUCCCAUAGUAAAAGAUGGCGGCUGAAGGACUCGCCGCAGUGUACAACGUGGUGGUCCCCUUUGUCUGGGCUGCGUGCUUUCCACGUUGCCUCUCGCAGCAGGGAUGCUAUGGCAGACUUCAUUAUGUUAAUAUCAUGGCUUUUGCCACCUGGACGUCACAGCGGGUGUCCCUUUAGUCUGAUCUUGGCGGACUUGCCGCAUUGUUAAAGAUGGCGUGCUUGCCGCUUAUUGCCGCACACAGGAGACCGGGAGAAACGGUGGGACGGACGGUGUUCGAUUGCCGCAUGGCCCAUCCAAUGAGAAAUGUGGGUGGAAUUGGUCACAGUCAGUUAGAGCAGAUGGACAUUUGGUUUUCCACCUCCCUCCCAUCUCCUUAGUCCCUUCCGGUCCCGCAUUGCCUCCUGCAGUGCUGGAUGUCCCGCUGUGAAAUGUGAACCACAUCCGAUUCCUUUGUAUUGGUGCCAUGGCCUGAGGCUAGUCUUCUCCCGCCACCCAGCUAGUCUUCUCUGCACUGUGUGGAGAUGGCGGUGAGCCAUGGCGAGGACAAGAGUGGAUCACAGAUGAUCAUUGCCCAACAGGUGGGAGAAGAAUAAUUCCUGCCUUCCUCCAGAGGAACACCUACCCCGUGGCUAAUGCUGGGGUCGGAUUUUGAUUGAUAUUUAUCUUUUGGAUCUCAGUGAUAUAGUCUGAUCGUGUGAUUUGCUGCUGUUUGAAUUUAAGUCUUAAGUGACUAUUAUAGAAAUGAUACCAUUUCUCUGAGGAGGAUGUCAAAAGAUUGGCCCAGCUCAGGGUGCAGUUUACACUACUAGCUCCUUGGACUGCUGUAAGAAGAGUCUCUGGCUCUAUAAAAUACUGGAUGAAUUCAGAGGCGGUUCUGUACCACAACUCAAGAGGAACGAUGGCUUGAUUUUAGGUGGAUUGGUGCCUCUUAGACAGCAUCCAAAGGACAUUCUGAGCAUGUGAAACCUGAGAACUGCAAGCAGAUCUUCCUCCAAAGAAUAGGCUUGUUGCUUUACAGUGUUAGUGACCCAUUCCCUUUGACGAUCUCUAGGUGGAGAUGGGGCAUGAGGAUCCUCCAGGGGAAAAGCUCACUACCACUGGGCAACAACCCUAGGUCAGGAGGUGCUACCAAGAGACUUUUCUGGGCUCAGAUAGGAAGAUGAAGUCUCGAAGACAACCACCCCAUGUCAAGCUCUUGAUUGUUCCCUUCAUAUUUGCGAAAUCAUUAUCCUUCCCAAAAGCAGUGGAGAGAGUUGGUUUUUCGGCACGCACAAGAAAUUUGAACAUACCAAAGGAAGUCAGCCUUCCCACCUGAAGAUCAACAUGCCUGGCACUCUAGCACUUUAGAAUAACAGGAUGAAUGUGUACUGCUUUGCUAAUUUCUUUCUUCCUUGAGUGUCUUUGCUCUUUCUUCUCUUCUUCUCUGCCUACAGUGUCUUACCCAUUUCCAUUUUUUCUCUUGCUAAUUUCUUCUGUGUGUGCCUUUGCCCCAUUUUCUCUUAGUUCUCAUGAGUGCUCUGUGGCUUGGCUUAGAUGUAUCUCAUUUUUUCAUUUUGUUGCUCUAUGUCUUUGUUCUCCUAGAUCUCACUCUUCUUUUUCACUCUUUCUUCCUUUUGUGU